AAGUCGUAACAAGGUCUCCGUUGGUGAACCAGCGGAGGGAUCAUUACCGAGUUAUCAACUCCCAAACCCCUGUGAACAUACCUGAACGUUGCUUCGGCGGGACCGCCCCGGCGCCCAUCUCGGUCGGCCCGGAACCAGGCGCCCGCCGGAGGACCCAAACUCUUGCUUUCAUUCAGUGGCAUUCUCUGAGUACAACAAACAAAAUAAAUCAAAACUUUCAACAACGGAUCUCUUGGCUCUG
rnacentral:misc_RNA from 1 species